UGACUGAACAUUCUAAGGUUGCUAGCGAUAACCAGGACGUUGCAUCUGGGGAGCUGUCACCAGAGACAAAUGGUGGAAAUAAUAAGCUGACGGUAGAGGCUUGCAACAAAGUUACUGAUGAUACAUCAAAUCCUCUUGAUAGUACACCUGCGGAUGGCACAUCAAAGCCUCUUGAUAGUAUACCUGCUGUAGAUAAACCAAAGCGAGGCCGGCCUCCUGCAGUAAAGUCACAGGAGAAGAAGCCUGUUGGGAAGAGCCAAGGAUCAGGUCUUGAAUCUAAAGAAAUUCGCUCAGGCAGUACUUCCGGUGGAAGACCUGCAAGAGGACCCGCU
rnacentral:lncRNA from 1 species